rnacentral:pre_miRNA from 7 species
GUCUAGGACCUCUGGGUGGUCGCGCUGUUUCCCGGCCAAUGCACCAAAUGAAAGACCCCCGAAGGGAGACCCUCACUCAGACCACUCAAGUCCCGGGACAGCCACGUACCCAAGAAGACACUGAGACCA